rnacentral:rRNA from 1 species
GUUCCUUGGAAAAGGACAGCUGAGAGGGUGAGACUCCCGUCCGCCUGGUAGAGUGAGUUUUUGUCAACGAGUCGAGUUGUUUGGGAUUGCAGCUCUAAUUUGGUGGUAAAUUCCAUCUAAAGCUAAAUAUUGGUGGGAGACCGAUAGCGUACAAGUACCGUGAGGGAAAGAUGCAAAGAACUUUGAAAAGAGAGUUAAAGAGUACCUGAAAUUGCUGAAACGGAAGCGAAGGAAACCAGUGUUUGUUGGUUCAUAUUUCCCUGGCCACUUGUGGUUUGGGCGCUGUGAGCUUGCGUGGGUUUGCUUUGGUUGAUCCCUUUGGAAGAGCGCAGUCAGAGUUGAUGUCU